AAGUUUCCAAUAUAAUUUCAUUUUUUUAAACAGACAAGUGAAAAAAAAAAAAGAAAGAAAAAGAAAUGUUAAAUCUAAACACCUUCAACCUCCCACAUUUCUCUUAACCAAACAUUUACAGAGAACCUAAGAUGUGUCAAGCACUCCGUUGGGAACUGGGACAGAUGACACUUAUUCUAAACUAAACCCGUAUUACUGAGCUCCUCAACUUCACAUAUUAUUCAAACCAACAGUUUUCUUAAAAAAUUCUUGUCCAACACUAAGGAAGAUAUACGGUUUUCCUAAUAAAUCCACUUUUCACCGUUUUACACAGGUCACAGGAGUUGGAGCUACUAUCUGCAACUAACAAAAGAUUCAUUUCGGAAACAUCACUGAUACAGGAACUGAGCAGAUAAAAACUGUUCCAUGUAGGAGUUUACAGCACCCAAACUCAAGGAAAAAACUGAUCUGGGCUCACAGAGAAGUCUGUAGCAGAUACAAACGUCUCAACAGCCACAGAUUUUACUUUCUUCUAUAAACACAAGCAUUACAAAUUUUAAUCCAGAUGCAGUACUGUAAAACCGGUCUUGAUUUCGAAGUGAAAUACAUUCUUAAAAAUAAUUCAUCAAAGGAACACUCAAAAGUAAAUGACAGUUACACUUUAACAUAUUAUCUGUUCCAUUUCUACACUUGUGAACACACUCUACUCUUUUCAAGCAUUUCUCAGUAUGCACCGGAUGAAAAAAACAUCUGCUAACCUCAAAAUUCCACCAGUUGAAUCUAGACAUUUCAGAUAUCUAAGGCUUUUUAUUCUCGAGUGUAUUUUAAAAAAUCAGACAGCAUUCAAUUACAGAUUCUCUAAACCGAAAAACCACCACCUGUACUUUUAUUGUUAUCAUUUCUUCCAUCAAUUAAGCAAACUGUACUUUUCAGACACCGUCAUCCUCCAUUCAGCUAACCUGUUUACAUUUAAGAGAAACCUGGCCAUCAAUUUUCCACACAUCACAAAGCAAUACAGCAUCGGACAAUUUACAGACAAAUUGGAUCAAUAAAGGAAAAUAAAACACAAGUCCCUAGAAAUACAAGGAACAACUGCUGUCUCUGAACUGUGGAAAGAUCACCAAAAUUCUCUUUGAAAACCUUUCAGUCAAGAUUAUUUUUCUCGCUAAUGAAAUAGAUUUUCUGCUAAAAAUUCGCAAUACCGUUCAACAAUAAAUAAGAUUUUCUUUCAUCACUGUAACCGAUAGAACCACAACAGUUCAGUUUCUAGAAACCGAUUACUUGACCUGCUUUUUCAGUUCUACGUUUUAAAACAUUCUAAUUCGUGCAGUUAUUCCUGUCCCUCCCUGCAAAAGGAGAUGUUCUACCUAGGAGAAUCACCCUCACUGACUCCAACUCACGGGCCCAAGUGUCCAGGCGGCAGCAAAGCCUCUGAGAUGUAGCGAUCCACGCCAGCUGACCCCCAUCGUCUCCCGCGGAAAGGCAUGGGCACCAAGCCACCAAACACACCUUCCUCUGCAAAACUCGGAGGCCCGACACGACGACCUCGGGCAAAUCCCCUACUUCCUGAGUUCUACCCCCCAGAGGUUUGUUUUCAGUAGCCAAUCUUACCUUCAUUGUGAUUCCGGGGCCGCGAUCCCCUCGAAAACACCAGAUUCACCUGCACCUGGAGGGGAAACAAAAGACCCCCGAUCAGCACUUCAGGCCCCCCCUUUGCGCCGGCAAAGACGCAGGGGACAGAGUAAAGCCUCAGCCCCGACACCUUUAAACGCUGAUUCGGGGCUCCUUCUGGCCCCACCGUCCCCCCAAGGCCAGCCACCUACACCGCUCGGCAGCUUCCCGUCCCCAUUGUCAGGACCCGACGGAGUUUCCCGUCUCCGACAAUGACGCCAUUUCUGUCAGAGAAGAAACUCACAACAAGCCCGGAGUCCGGCGCCGAGUCGCCUGCCCUCCCAGCGGCACCUCCUCGCCCCGCCGCCCUGCUCCUCUGCCCUGAGGGCCCCGCAGCCCCGCGUCGGAGCCGAAGAGCGGCCGGCCCGGAGGAGGAGACCGAGAGGGGCGCGGAAGAAGUCCGGCCGACCCGAGGGGCCGCGCGCGGCAGGGCUCCCCCUCCCCCCAGGAGCCUCUGCCCGCGGCCCGUUCCUGGGCCGGGGACCCUGCGAAGCGGGAGCAAGACCACCACCUGCCCACACCGCGGGGGACAGCGUGAGGACCGGAGACCUCGGACGGAGCCCCCCCCCCGGCCGGGCCCCCCACCGCGGCCGAGGGCCGCUAAACCGCUGAGUCUGCGGCCGCUCGGCCACGGGCGAUUCGGACUCCGCAAUUGCGGUGGGGGGGGGGGCGGAGGCUCCCGGGAAAAAGAGGCCCCGAAUUCGGGAGCCCGCUGAGAGACCACCACGGCGAUCUCCCUCCUGCUCCUCGACCGGGCCCCGUGACUCCCAAAAGGCUCCCUUACGAGACCCCAAAAGCCCCCAAAUGUCCCUACCUUUCUCAGAGGCGAGAUCUGACCCUGGCACGUCCAGAGUCCCCUCCCUUCCUCCUCCCCCCCAAAACCAGCAGGCCCGGGAGAGAGAUGGGGGAAGAAGGGCGGCAGGUCCAGCGGUUGCUGAGGCUGAGGCUCCGGCUCCUCCUCCUCCCGCGGCGGCGACUGGUACCUUUGUUUGGCGGCCGCUCGGGCUCCCUCGCUGGGGGGGAGGGGGAAGACGAAAAAUCCCUCUCGGACUGGAGGUCCGGGUCCCCAAUCGCACUGCCCUCCAGAGGACGGCAGCAGUGGACCCUCUGUAGCUCUCACCGGGCAAAGGACCAGGCAGUGGCCGUGGUAGCCGCAAGCUUAAGCUCGCAGUCACCCUCCGCUCCGGCGCCCGAGCUGCUCACUCCGGACUCGACUGACGGGCAAACAUCGCUUCCCCCACCAACCUCAGGUCCCCCCCCGCUUCUCCUCUCCUUUCACCCCGCCCCUUGGUUUUUCUCCCCUCCCCUACCUCUUUCCCGGAUGGCCUCUUAGACGACCUCGGAUUGGCUAGAGUUACUUAGAGCCCGCCUAUACCUUCUUCUUAUUGGUCUCUGCGAUACAAACACCGACGCCAUUUUCCCACCAGUUCUAUGGAAACAGAAAGUUAUGCCUCAAAGUUUCCGGGGAAAUGUAGUCCAGCCUCUGAGGUCAAUGCGCAAGCCCCUAGUCCAGAGAACUGCAACACCCGCAAUGCCCCGCGCCUGCGAGAGACGGGAGGGGGAGAAAGGGGCGGGUGCGACAAAGCAGUGGGGAGGCGGCAACGACGCCUGCGCAGUGUGACCGGGAUGGCGCAUUUUCUUGCACCGAGUAAUGCGGGGUUGCUGGCUGCUGAGGAGGGCGGAGAAUUCUGUGAAGUAGGGGAGGGCCUCAAGUAGGCGUCGGGAGGAGCCGUGGUCUGAACUAUAAAGUGGGAAGUUAAUGCUGGGUACAGCUACUACCGGACCGGCGGAGUGAAAGUCGUGAUAUCAUCGUUUAACCAUCAGCUUUGAAAUUUAAAAACAAUGGAGAAGGAUCAAGAAAUAACCCAAAGAAUUCUUCUAGAACCCUACAAGUACUUACUUCAGUUACCAGGAAAGAAGCAGAGCUGUUCAGUCUCUAAAAGCUUAAUUUAAAGGAAUAAUUUAAGAGGUCAUUUUACAAGGUAAACAAGUGAGAACCAAACUUUCACAAGCUUUUAAUCAUUGGCUGAAAGUUCCAGAAGACAAGCUACAGUUCUUGAGAUGUAACUGCAGAAUUCUUCAGCCUUCUGCCUGACCUGCAGAUUUUGGGUUUGCCAGCAACCGCAACCACGAGAGCCAGCUAGAGAGGCCUCUAGCCUGCUGCCUGAUUCACAGAUUUGGGACUUGCCAGCUCCCACAACUGCACAAGCCAUUUCUUUUCAAUAAAUCUCUCUGUAUUUAUACAUAUGCUUCACUGGUUUUGCUCCUCUAGAGAAACCAGUCUAAGACAUUGGCCUAGCAGGACCACAGAAAAAAGGAGAAGUGACUUAAGGGGAGGAGAAAAGGAGAGAGAGGGGAUUCCUUGUAAGGGUACAAAAGCCAGCAGGUCCCAUGAUUUCUGGUAGUAUUCUGAGGAGAUGAGCAAGAUUUUAGAGGGAAUGUUGUAGCCUAAUAGGGCAAUACCAUUCCCACUCAGCAGAAAGUCUUCAGCCCUGCUCGUGCCCUGGAAGCAGAGAGAUGUUAGACUUUAAAGGAUCACUGUCAGCUUUAGUAAUAAAGAUGUCAGUGGUGUCUAUGAUGUCUGGAGAUGAGAUGCCUUCAGGCACCUCUUAAAUCUCCCAGAAGCUGGUGUAACUAUGAAAGGUAAUGAAGCCCCAACACUGAGGAAGAUUAAAUUUUCUGCUAGCCCAGAAAGAUGGAGGUGGAGAGGUUCCUGGACUAAGCACAUGUAUUCAUCUUUCCUCCCUAUUGAGAGAAUACUAAAAGAAAAAAGAAUAAAAAGGUUAAAAUAGCAUUGAGAAUGGGAAGGGCUCUAUUAGUUGAUGAGAAAUUUCAAAAAAUCUCUGGAGUGCAGAAAGCAGAAAGAUGAUUGAUGAAAGCAGUGUAGAUAAAGCUGUAACUAAUGAUAUAGAGAGAAGGGGCUUCAGCUGAAAAGGAAUCCAGUGGCUCAGUAGAACCCUGUGUUGGUAGGCAGAAUAAUGGCCCCCCAGUGAUGUCCACAUUCUAAUACCCAGAGGCUGUGAAUAUGUUAGGUUAUACGGCAAAGAAGAAAAGUUGCAGAUGGAAUUAAGGUCCCUAAUCAGAUGAAAUCGGAGCCCUGGUGGCAUAGUGGUUAAGAGCUCGGUUGCAAACCAAAAGGUCAGCAAUUCAAUUCCACUCCUUGGAAACACUAUGGGGCACUCACUUCUACACUGUCCUGUAGGAUUGCUAUGAACUGGAAUAGACUUGAUGGCAACAGGUUACAGUUUUUUAAUCAGAUGACCUUAAAAUAGGGAGAUUAUCCUAGAUUUUCCAGUGGGUCUAAUGUAAUGACACAAACACAAACACACGCAAAACCCAUCCCAUAGAGUCAAGUCUGACUCAUAGCCACCCUAUAAAAAAAAAAAAAAAAAAAUAGACAGAGUAAAACUGCC